CUAAAACAGCUGAGUUUGGUUUCCAUGCGAAGCCUUUCCUGGAUAGACCUGUUAUGGUUUGACCUUGAAAGUCCCAGGAAGGCUCCAGUAUCGAAGUCUUAGUCCCCUGUGCAACAGCGUUAGAGGUGGGGUUUGGAAGGUAAUUUAUUCAUGCAGUCUCUAAACCAUCAGUAGGUCGUUGGAGGUGUUCCCUAGAAGGGGGUGUGCUGUCCUCAGCUCCUUUUGCAUUCUGUUUCCUAGCACCAGAGAGAUGAUCAAUUCUACUCUCCUGCAUCUUCCCAGAAGGAUAUUCUGCCUUGACCAUGUGCCCAAACGGUGGGAUCAGCCAAGUGGGGACUGAAACUAUUGAACCAAAAUGAAUCCUUCCCCCCUUAAACUGAUUUUUUUUUUCUUCAGCGUUUGUCAAAGGACAGCCAUGGAACCUAUAUAGGCUCACUCACCACACCGGCUCUUGCUGCCUCGUGGUUUGGUCUGGAGAGAAGGGCAAUUUGUGAGGCAGGAACAUAUUCUCCAGCCUAUCUAAGGCCAGGCUCUCCAGCUCCAGUUUCCUGCUGAAAUCUGCAUUUUCUCCAGGAAUGGGAGGUGGAGGAACCUCCUAUCUACAUCAAAAAGGAUUCUACUGAAAAUUGAUCAAGCCAAUUGUGCCAGAAGAUACUCACAUUUAUAUUCAUAAGUCUCCAAUGUCACUGGAAAGCACAGGGCUCCAAAUGGCCCAUUUCGUUUCCUGCCUAGCAUUCUUUCUCAAUUAUAAGACAACAAAUGCACCACAUUUGAAAAGAGUAUUUGAGUCACAGUAAGGACUCAUAAUACUAACGAGCAACCAUCCAGAGGACACACUUGCUCAGAGGACACGCACAGGUGAACAGAACUCUGCUUCACUACAGGAAUACCAACUGUGGAGAACAAGGCCAGAAUAAUAUUUAUUAAACAGAAGAGGAAAGAGGAGUAAAACAA